UGCCCUGGCAGUCAGAGGCGAUGAAGGGCGUACUAAUCUGCGAUAAGCGCCGGUAAGGUGAUAUGAACCGUUAUAACCGGCGAUACCCGAAUGGGGAAACCCAGUGUGAUUCGUCACACUAUCAUUAACUGAAUCCAUAGGUUAAUGAGGCGAACCGGGGGAACUGAAACAUCUAAGUACCCCGAGGAAAAGAAAUCAACCGAGAUUCCCCCAGUAGCGGCGAGCGAACGGGGAGGAGCCCAGAGCCUGAAUCAGCAUGUGUGUUAGUGGAAGCGUCUGGAAAGGCGCGCGAUACAGGGUGACAGCCCCGUACACAAAAGCGCAUGUGCUGUGAGCUCGAUGAGUAGGGCGGGACACGUGGUAUCCUGUCUGAAUAUGGGGGGACCAUCCUCCAAGGCUAAAUACUCCUGACUGACCGAUAGUGAACCAGUACCGUGAGGGAAAGGCGAAAAGAACCCCGGCGAGGGGAGUGAAAAAGAACCUGAAACCGU
rnacentral:rRNA from 1 species